UACGUAGGGUCCGAGCGUUGUCCGGAUUUAUUGGGCGUAAAGAGCUCGUAGGUGGUUCGCUAAGUCGGAUGUGAAAACUCGGGGCUCAACCCCGAGACGCCAUCCGAUACUGGCGUGACUUGAGUCUGGUAGGGGAGAUCGGAAUUCCUGGUGUAGCGGUGAAAUGCGUAGAUAUCAGGAGGAACACCGGUGGUGUAGACGGCUCUCUGGACCGUAACUGACGCUGAGACACGAAAGCGUGGGUAGCAAACAGG
rnacentral:rRNA from 1 species